rnacentral:lncRNA from 1 species
UUUUUAAAAAUCCGAACCCGAACCCAACUCCAAACCCAAGACCCGAACCCGAACCCGAACCCGAACCCGAACCCGACGGAUUUUAAAAAUCCAUAUCCAAACCCGAAUCCGACCAAAAAUCCGAAACCCGAACCCGAACCCGAAAAUUUGAACUUGAAACAAUUAUUUCUUUUUUCAAUACUUCAAAAUAUAUUAUAUUAAAUCGAAAUUUUUAAAAUACAAAUUCAAAUAUAACAUCAAAUUUCUAUAUAUAUAUAUAUUAUAUAUAAUACAAAAUAAAUUCGGGUUCGGGUCGGGUUCGGGUUCGGGUCAGGUACAAUCAAAACCCAUAUUUGAAUCCAUAUCCGUUGGGUUUCUAUUUUUGAUAUCCAUAUCCAAAUCCAUAUUCAUAUCCAUCGGAUAUAUCCGUUUCAUUCGGGUUUGGGUUCGGAUAAAAUUCGGGUAUCCAUACCCAUUGACAUCCCUAAAUGUUACAACAUCUUGUCAAAUAUCACUACAACAAAUAUGGUUUAUAGAGACACUUAACGUCGGUACAUGUUAAAAAAAGUACUCAUGGCUAAAUUACCGACACUUUUAAAAAGUGUUGCUAUAUGUGGAUUCGCUAGGUAUAUCGUGACAGUUAAAAAGUGUCGCUAUAACCUAAAAAGAGUGCUGCUAAUUUACCAACACUUAUUUAAGCAUUUAGCAACCAUCGGAACUCUAUCUCGUUGGCUGCGGUGGCGGAGGAAGACGAGAGGGAAGGGCUCUUCGUCUAGAAUUUCAGUGAAUUGAGUGAGGGAAGAAAGGGAGAAGGUAAUCGAUUUUUCUUUGUUUUUUUCUUUUCUGUUUGUAAUCGGGCCGAAUGGACUGGGUGAGAUGGGUUGAGUAGAGUAACUUUUUAUUUUUUAUUGGAUUAGGCUUUAUAUUUAGGCAUUAGUAGAUUUUUUUUAAAAGUUUUGAUAUAAAUAGGACACUUACACAAAAGUGUCCCAAACAUGUAUCCAUAUAAGCUAAUUCUGUUGUAGUGUAUUAUAAU